rfam:Capsicum annuum cultivar Zunla-1 chromosome 3, whole genome shotgun sequence
ACCUAUUUGACUCAGCGGUUAGGGUAUCUCUUUCAUACGGCGUGAGUCAUUGGUUCAAAUUCAAUAGUAGGUA